GGGGGCGAAAGGGGUCCGGUGACUCUCCCGGCCUUCAAAGCCGGCGAUCCCUGCCAUCGAGGCAGGAAUGGUGGAUUCGACUUCCACACGCCUCCGCCA
rnacentral:tRNA from 1 species